rnacentral:tRNA from 1 species
GAUGAAUCGACGUCUACUAUAACCCCUAGCCUUCCAAGCUAACGAUGCGGGUUCGAUUCCCGCUAUCCGCU